rnacentral:rRNA from 1 species
CAGGACGAACGCUGGCGGCGUGCUUAACACAUGCAAGUCGAACGAGGUUAGAGACUCGGUUUUAACCGAGUGGCGGACGGGUGAGUAACGCGUGAGCAAUCUGUCCCAGACAGGGGGAUAACAACUGGAAACAGUUGCUAAUACCGCAUAAGACCACGAAGUCGCAUGGCUUUGAGGUAAAAGGAGCAAUCCGGUUUGGGGUGAGUUCGCGUCUGAUUAGAUAGUUGGCGAGGUAACGGCUCACCAAGUCGACGAUCAGUAGCCGACCUGAGAGGGUGACCGGCCACAUUGGGACUGAGACACGGCCCAGACUCCUACGGGAGGCAGCAGUGGGGAAUAUUGGGCAAGUUACGGGGGGAAACCCUGACCCAGCAACGCCGCGUGAGGGAAGAAGGUUUUCGGAUUGUAAACCUCUGUCCUUGGGGACGAACAAGAUGACGGUACCCGAGGAGGAAGCCCCGGCUAACUACGUGCCAGCCGCUGC